AGAUCUUCUACGGGAGGCAGCAGUGGGGAAUUUUCCGCAAUGGGCGAAAGCCUGACGGAGCAAUACCGCGUGAGGGAUGACUGCCUAUGGGUUGUAAACCUCUUUUUUCAGGGAGGAACAAAAUGACGUGUACCUGAAGAAUAAGCAUCGGCUAACUCCGUGCCAGCAGCCGCGGUAAGACGGAGGAUGCAAGUGUUAUCCGGAAUCACUGGGCGUAAAGCGUCUGUAGGUGGUCAAAUAAGUCAACUGUUAAAUCUUGAGGCUCAACCUCAAAAUCGCAGUCGAAACUAUUAGACUAGAGUAUAGUAGGGGUAAAGGGAAUUUCCAGUGGAGCGGUGAAAUGCGUAGAGAUUGGAAAGAACACCGAUGGCGAAGGCACUUUACUGGGCUAUUACUAACACUCAGAGACGAAAGCUAGGGUAGCAAAAGGGAUUAGAUACGCC
rnacentral:rRNA from 1 species